rnacentral:rRNA from 1 species
UACGUAGGGGGCAAGCGUUGUCCGGAAUUAUUGGGCGUAAAGCGCGUGCAGGCGGCUUCUUAAGUCUGAUGUGAAAGCCCACGGCUCAACCGUGGAGGGUCAUUGGAAACUGGGAAGCUUGAGUGCAGAAGAGGAGAGUGGAAUUCCACGUGUAGCGGUGAAAUGCGUAGAUAUGUGGAGGAACACCAGUGGCGAAAGCGGCUCUCUGGUCUGUAACUGACGCUGAGGCGCGAAAGCGUGGGGAGCAAACAGG